rnacentral:rRNA from 1 species
UACAGAGGCCCCAAGCAUUAUCCGGAAUCACUGGGCGUAAAGGGUGUGUAGUCGGUUGUGUUAGUCUUCUGUGAAAAGGCUCGGGCUUAACCCAGGAACCGCAGGGGAAACGGCACAACUCAGAGGAUGUGAGAGGUAAAGGGAACUCAUGGUGUAGGGGUGAAAUCCGUUGAUAUCAUGGGGAACACCAAAUGCGAAGGCACUUUACUGGCACACUCCUGACGCUGAGACACGAAAGCGUGGGAAUCGAAUGGG